AGGACGAACGCUGGCGGCGUGCUUAACACAUGCAAGUCGAGCGGAAAGGCCCUUCGGGGUACUCGAGCGGCGAACGGGUGAGUAACACGUGAGCAACCUGCCCUUGGCUCUGGGAUAGCCUCCGGAAACGGGGAUUAAUACCGGACAUUCACUUUCUCCUGCAUGGGGGUUGGUGGAAAGUUUUUCGGCCAGGGAGGGCUCGCGGCCUAUCAGCUUGUUGGCGGGGUAACGGCCCACCAAGGCGACGACGGGUAGCCGGCCUGAGAGGGCGAUCGGCCACACUGGGACUGAGACACGGCCCAGACUCCUACGGGAGGCAGCAGUGGGAAUAUUGCACAAUGGGCGCAAGCCUGAUGCAGCGACGCCGCGUGGGGAUGAAGGCCUUCGGGUUGUAACCCCGUUUCACCAGGAGCGAAUUCAGACGGUACCUGGGAAGAAGCGCCGGCUAACUACGUGCCAGCAGCCGC
rnacentral:rRNA from 1 species